rnacentral:rRNA from 1 species
GAUGAACGCUGGCGGCGUGCUUAACACAUGCAAGUCGAACGGUGAACACGGAGCUUGCUCUGUGGGAUCAGUGGCGAACGGGUGAGUAACACGUGAGCAACCUGCCCCUGACUCUGGGAUAAGCGCUGGAAACGGCGUCUAAUACUGGAUAUGUGACGUGACCGUAUGGUCUGCGUUUGGAAAGAUUUUUCGGUUGGGGAUGGGCUCGCGGCCUAUCAGCUUGUUGGUGAGGUAAUGGCUCACCAAGGCGUCGACGGGUAGCCGGCCUGAGAGGGUGACCGGCCACACUGGGAUUGAGACACGGCCCAGACUCCUACGGGAGGCAGCAGUGGGGAAUAUUGCACAAUGGGCGAAAGCCUGAUGCAGCAACGCCGCGUGAGGGAUGACGGCCUUCGGGUUGUAAACCUUUUUUAGCAGGGAAGAAGCGAAAGUGACGGUACCUGCAGAAAAAGCGCCGGCUAACUACGUG